GAGAUUGUGGUGUAGUUGAGCACCCUCGAUUUUCAUUCGAUAAGCAUAUAGAUAUUAUAUCCUUCUCG
rnacentral:tRNA from 1 species